UAAGCAUAUCAAUAAGCGGAGGAAAAGAAACCAACAGGGAUUGCCUCAGUAACGGCGAGUGAAGCGGCAAGAGCUCAAAUUUGAAAGCUGGCCCCCUCGGGGUCCGCAUUGUAAUUUGCAGAGGAUGCUUCGGGAGUGGCCCCCAUCUAAGUGCUCUGGAACGGGCCGUCAUAGAGGGUGAGAAUCCCGUAUGGGAUGGGGUGUCCGCGACCAUGUGAAGCUCCUUCGACGAGUCGAGUUGUUUGGGAAUGCAGCUCUAAAUGGGUGGUAAAUUUCAUCUAAAGCUAAAUAUUGGCCGGAGACCGAUAGCGCACAAGUAGAGUGAUCGAAAGAUGAAAAGCACUUUGAAAAGAGAGUUAAAAAGCACGUGAAAUUGUUGAAAGGGAAGCGCUUGCGACCAGACUCGCCUACGGGGUUCAGCCGGUAUUCGUACCGGUGUACUUCCCCGUGGGCGGGCCAGCGUCGGUUUGGGCGGCCGGUCAAAGGCCCUCGGAAUGUAACGCCUCUCGGGGCGUCUUAUAGCCGAGGGUGCCAUGCGGCCAGCCCGGACCGAGGAACGCGCUUCGGCACGGACGCUGGCAUAAUGGUCGUAAGCGACCCGUCUUGAAACACGGACCAAGGAGUCUAACAUCUACGCGAGUGUUCGGGUGUCAAACCCGUGCGCGCAGUGAAAGCGAACGGAGGUGGGAACCCUCACGGGUGCACCAUCGACCGAUCCUGAUGUCUUCGGAUGGAUUUGAGUAAGAGCGUAGCUGUUGGGACCCGAAAGAUGGUGAACUAUGCCUGAAUAGGGCGAAGCCAGAGGAAACUCUGGUGGAGGCUCGCAGCGGUUCUGACGUGCAAAUCGAUCGUCAAAUUUGGGUAUAGGGGCGAAAGACUAAUCGAACCAUCUAGUAGCUGGUUCCUGCCGAAGU
rnacentral:rRNA from 1 species